rnacentral:lncRNA from 1 species
ACCCUUUCUCGCUAGGGUAAACCAUGGAGGAUGGAAAUAUUUCGAGGGCUUUUGGUGUUUGAAAGAGUCAAGAUAUUGUCGAUCCUUCCUGCUGGAGGAGUGCGCGGCUUCUUCUGCCAGGGCAGGCACUGGAUUCGCGACCGUGGCAGCGUCAUGGCGCCGGCGACGAGACAAUCCCAGGUUUUCUAGCUUCUCGAGUUCCAGGGGAAGAUCUGGAAGACGUUACAUUCUCUAGCAAUUCGGAGCCGCAAGGAACGAAUGAUAGCCUCCAGCUCUAUGGACAGAUCGAGAAGUAUGCUGGUGAAAGAAUUUCGUCGUUUUCAUGCUUGUUCUUCUUUCUUUCCAGGGUUUUUGUGGACUCUGCGAUGUAAGCACAAGGAACUCUUGGACGCUGGCAAGAAAUCCAAGUAAGCUCUAUCUGUGUUUUUGUCUUUCACAGAGAGAGCACUGGUGAUUUUGUUUUCCUUCUCCAGGGAGACCGAGCAAAGGAGAUCAGUUGUCCAUUUUGGAGCUGCUCCACAGAUCACGUAUCGCUUGUUUCUGGAACGCCUUGUAGAGCCCUUAAGGACUAGCAAAAGUCUAGCAGUUUCGGUGGGCAGAGAGGUGAGAGUUUCAUAUUGUAUAGAAUGAUUUAACUCUGUCUUUCCAUGCAUGAUCAUAACAAUGCUAUAAUGAAAGUUGUUUGUUAUGAUAGCACGUCAAAGGACUGACCAUUUCACUUUUAAGCCCACUUUAACCAAGACACAUCAUAUCAUUUGUUUAAAUCAUUAUUUUGAAUUA